UCACCGCCCCGGUCUCCCGCCCAUCAGGUGCCCGUUGCCAGGGAGAUGCUCGUAAAUAAUGCACAGCUCUGGGGGCCAUGGCUCAGCUCCAAACCUCUCAGGGCUCCUCAAGGGCCACAGACGGCACCAAGUCCUCCCCAGCCGGGCGUGUCGACUCUCCAAGACCUGAUCCUCACCCGCCCCAGCCUCAUUUGCUCACCGUCCCCCUCACGCUCCACAGACAACCAGACGGCCUGACCUUUCCUGAAACUCUCCGCAUCUCCUGAUUUCCUCCCCCCGCUGAGCCAGGGACGGGGACACAGAAGCUGUGCUCCAGGGGCUGUGGAGGGCCUGCCUGGGAGGGAGGGGGCUGGCCCUCCGGAACGCCCCCUGCCCCUUCCCAGCUACCUCACAAGGUCCAGGCUGAAAGCUGGCUUCUCCACAAACGACUCCCAGGCCGCCCCGGGCAAUCGGCCUGUCUCCUUCACUCCUUCCUUCGCUCUCAGCACCCACGGGGGUUAGGGCAAGGGUGCUGUGGCCACGCCUCAACACAAGCCCCUGCACUGUGUGCACCUCGCUCUGUCCUGCGCAUCUCGGAUCCCACAGCACCUGGCACACUGCCACACAGCACAGGGCUUGUGUCGCUGUCCCAGUGAACAGGAGAGCAAUGUGGGGACAUCCGACAGGAAACUAGAAGACGCCUGCCAAAGCCACACUCCCCCCGACCCCGGGGCCCCGUUACAGUCAAGUGGGGAAAGACGGUGACAAGGAGAAGGAGGAAGCAGGAAGGAAGGAAAAAGAGGCUCGGAGUCAGCCUGACGCUUUCCAACACCUGCCCCACCAGCUCCCAGCGCGUGGCACCUGGGCCAGGAGGCUGCCCCUUGGAACCUCAUUUCCCUUCUAUGCAAAAUGGGCGUAGUAAAUAGUCCAUUCUCGUAUUCAUUCGAGGCUCCAUUACUCAUUAAACAGGAGAUCUGGGGCCGGCUUCCUCUUGGCCGAGCCUCCGUUUGCUCCUGUGAAGUGAGGGUCUUGUCGGCAUCGACCCCGUGGACGUGCACGAGGGUUCAGAGCAUGUAUGUCUGUGAAGAACUUAGCCCCGUGCCUGGCACCCAGUCAAUCAGCAAACACGAGCUGGCACGAGCCGUCCACGCCUUGCGCCAAGUGCGGUAAUGAAUGUGGGGGACUCAGCAGAGAACAAAACAGGCCCCUCACAGAGCCGCCGUGUGGCUCACAGGCCGAAAGGGGUAAGAGGCAGGAAUGAGGGGAACUCGCCGGUGGCUGAGACAAUCACCGCCGGGCGAGCUCUGUGAAGGGGCGAGGACCCUGUAACCCAAGGGACGGGCCUUCGAGGCAGAGCAGGGAAGGCCACGCAGGAGGCUGCGAGCACCGAAGAGCCAAUACUUGCAAACAACUGCACCCAGUCAGGCUGUGGCUGGAAAAGAAUGUUUCCUGCUUAGGAGGAGAAGAACCGGGUCUGAGGCGCAGGCGUCUCUGCCGUGGGCUGGGCGUCUCUCCUUCUGAAAUGCGGCCUCCCAGGCUCCUUUGCCCGGCUCUGCCCUUUGAAAGAGGGAUUCAUGGUCACUGGAGGCUCCUGUGCCCCAUCAUCCUGCAUCACAGGCACUUCUCCUUGCAGAGCAUCUCAUGCCGAUGGUGAAGAGCUAAUUUUACGGCUGCCUCAGACCGUCCUUGGGCGGGCAGGGUCUGGAUCCCCGGGCUGUUUCCCCAGAUUCCAAAAAGCGGGAGCAGACUCAGGCCGGCCCUGCCCCUGCACGCUGAGAGCAGCUUGCUGCAGGAAGAUUGGCAUUGGGUGGAGUGUGCUUCAGGUGCUUAAAAUAGAUCAACUGUGUCAUUAGACCACUGGCAAGCCGUCAUUUCAUUGGCCCUGCUGGUGCUGGUGAGGGCAAGAGAUAACAGCCCAUGGAGAAAGACCUGUGCUUUGCACAAAAUUAAGCCGAUGUAAGGAAAAAGCUGUUGAAAUGAUACAGGCAGGAGAGAGGUGGAAUUCUGCCGGGGGAGGGGGGGGGCUGUGGCAGGAGCACCGAGCAGUAACCACAGCCCGGGGAGCAGCAGGACAGCGCGGUGCAGCCUGUCUGGACCUCUUGUCUGGCGGGUGAUGCGCUCAGAAAAGACACUAAGACUUGUGGGCUGCAGGGCACCGCCCAGCAGUGUCCUGUGAAGUCAGCAAGGGGGCGGCCCACAAAGCCACAAAACCAACCCGGGGGGCUGACUCUGAAGGGCCCCUCCUGCUCCUUCAGAGCCCUGUGCCCAGGGAACGAUGAGUCCUCCCACCACACCUGGGGAUGCUCCACCCUGAACGGAGCGCGCAGCCACAGCCGGAUCCGGCUUCUGCAGGGCAGCGCUAGGACCGCCUCUGGACCCCGCGGCCCUGGAAUCACAUGGCCCAGCAGCUCACAUGGCUCUGACGCCUGCCUCCGGCUGAGCUUGAACUUGCCCCAUCCCCUCCCCCAACCAUUUCCUCUAACACGGCUGCCGUGGCUGGGGCUGCGGACUCGGGGAAGUGGCCACAGUGGAGGAAGAAGAGUUCAGGUCACGUUUGGGAGCAGGAAGAGCCAGCUGUGGGCACAGCCUGCACACGGGACGGCGAAGGGAAGGGGAGUGGAGAUGAGCUCGACUUUCUGAUGACGAACCCAUGCGACGACGGCUCCAGCUGUCGACUGGGAUGGAGAAGAAAGGGUUUUUUCGUCUUUUAAAAAGAGUAUGUUCAUUAAAUUUAGUUUAAAUUUGAAGCGCCAUGGACCACCCAGGUGGGCAACUCGGUGGAGAGUCAGAAAGGCCACAUUAGAGCUUAGCAGAGAUCUUCACUAAGAAAGAGUCUGUUUUUCAUUCAUUCGCUCAUUCACCAAAUACCCUGUGAGCACCCACAGUGCACUAGGCACUGGGCUUUGCUUUCUAUGAAUUACUUGCUACCGUGAUUUCCUCCAGAGGAAUGCAGCAAAAUCUGCUCUCAAUCGAAGGCAUGAUGUUGGCAGGAUUCAACUUCCCACUUUGCUCCCUCAGGCAGGAGACCCCGUACGAACAGAGGAGAGGGGUCCAUGUGCGACCUUCUGGUAACGGUCCCUUGGCAGGGCGGGCGCCUCAAUUGGCCUUACCGACGUGGAGUCCCAGACGUCCUCCACUCAGCCAGGCAAGUCCUCUGCGUCACGACCACCUCUGGACAGUCCAGCCUCCUAGGGAAAGGCGCCCUUUGGGCUGGAAAAGGUACCCAGAGCUGGACCCAGUUGUCCAGAACUGCUUCCCUUUGGUCUGUGUCCCACCCCCUACUCACAGAUUCUUCUGGAAAUGAAACUGACCUCUAGGAGAUGGGGGUGGGACACUGUUUGCUCAACUGUAUCCAACAGGAUAUGAUUUCAUGCUCUGGGAAUGGGUCAGCUGGGGAAGCAAGGACAUGAAGCAGGAUUUUGCUCCUUUCAAGCGGACUUGACAGCGUGGCGGUGUUCGUCAGUGCUACCUCCAGGCAGGACUUUCCGUCAUGCCGAGCAGACAC
ensembl:lncRNA